GUGGUAUGAAACAGUCCAUUUGUAAGCAAUAUUUAAUUAUUAACACAUCAUAUGUUUGAACAGAAAUAUUUAAAAUUUAAAAUUUGUGUUAAAAAUCGGAUGUUUCUUUUUAUUGAGGAGAAUAUAUCAUCGUUUCUGGACGUGGCUAUGAACGCACUUGUGGUUGCACCAUAUACUGACUCGGUGAGUAGAAAUUUCAAAAACAAUUGGAUACAAAUAAUAUCUAAAGUAUUGUUUAUUUUGUAUGUGUACGUAACAUCUGGGAACCAUAUAUCUAACAUAUAAAUACAGUGUAUGUUCCUGGUAACAUUUAUCACAUUUCAACUGAAUGCGAUAUAUGGUCGUUAUAGUUUUAAUUCUCGACUAAGAAGCAUCAGAUCGAUUAUUCAUGUCAUUCAUGUCGGAUUAUAUUUUUUAAUUAAAUUAUUUUUAAAAAAAACAUGUUCACGAUUUUGACCGGGCUUUUUUUUUUUUUGGUAAAUUUUAAUUCAAAGUUGAAAAUUUGACUUCAUCUUUAUAUUAAACAAGGAAGACUUCCGGUAAAAUUCCUCCCGGUCAAUUUUUAACCCUUUUUAAUCAAUUAUUCCAUAAUAAUUUUAAUAAUUAUCUUUACAUAAACAUUAAAAAUUCUGAUUAAAGAAAUUUAAAUGUUUUAAAAGCUAUGUGCUAAGAAAAUUAAUUUUCCAAACAGGCGUUCCAAAAUACCUGUUACCUAGGACUCCCUCCUCUAGGAAAAAACGUAAAUAUUACACACGGGGCACUCAUAAAAUCAGUUAUGCAAUAUUGUACACGCUCGUAUACGUUUUUAAUAUUCAGUAACAUAUAUAGAGCACCUUAAGGAUGUACUUAGGUUUAGGUUGAAUCUAAUGAAAUUAAAAUUGAUAAUAAGUUGGUAAGCAUUGAUCUGUAAUAUUCAUACAAGAAAUAGUUAUCAAUUCUGUUAGUGAUUAAAUUGGCAUUAUUUUCUCAAAACAAAAGAAAGAAAAUCAAGAAUCUUCUUAAAUUUUGGAAAAUGACCUUUCAUGAGAGCUAUAAAGUCAUUGUGUUAAAUGGGUGUUAUGGACAGGUAUUGUAUGGAAAAAACCAGGAGUCCGAACAUUUGACACAAAUUCCAAAACUUCACCUUAGUUUUUACCGUUGUAUAUUUAGGUUAAUUAAAGGAUUUCAGAUCAUGAGCAAAGCAAUGCAAAAACAUUUAAUUUAACAGUUUAAGCAUUUCACUUAUAAAACAUUUUUGUCAAAUAGAAAAGGGCAUAACCCCAAUUCCUGCAUAAGUAAUUUGACAUAUCAAAUUUUCUUUUUUGUUUUAUCAAAUUGAUAAAUUGUUAUAUCAAAUAAUUAUAAUCUGUUAUAUCAAAUUGAUAAUCUAUUAUAUCAAUUAAACAGAUAAUUUGUUAUAUCAAAUUGUAAAAAGUAAAUAAGCACGACGCUAAAAGGCUUCCGUAAAAAAAUAAAUGAAAUAAAAUAUUUUGUCUCUAAAAGUAAAACAAAAAUGAUUUUUUUUAGGUGGAAAUGCUAGAAGAAAAGAAAAGGACGAAAGCACACUGACAAGAGAAACGGAAACCAGCCGCCUUAAAUGGCCCAUCAUGCUCAUCUGGAAGGAAAAAAAACACAAAAAAAAAAACAUCCUCAAAGAAUAAAACCAAGCAAAACAGUACUUUAAAAGUUAACAAAGAUCUUGGAAAGAAACCAACACAUCAGCAUAGGAAAAUAGUUUCUAAAUCAAAAAGAAAUGGAAAAAACCGAGCAGCUCAAGAAAAGAUUCUGGUAGGAAUAUAAUUAUUCUUUUUUUAUAUUUUAUAUAAUGAUCUGAUUUUUAGCUCACCUGGCCCUAUGAGCCAAGUCAACUUUUCUCAUCACUAGGUGUUCGUCGUCCGGCGUCUUUCGUCCGUCGUCCGUCAACUUUUACAAAAAUCUUCCCUGAUGAAACUUCUGAGCCAAAAUUUAAGCAAACUUGGCCACAAUCAACAUUGGGGUAUCUAGUUUAAGAAAUAUGUCCAAUGAUCUGAACAACCAACCAAGAUGACCACCAUCGCUAAAAAUAGAACAAAUGGGGGGGGGGGGGAUUUUGGCUUAUAUCUCUGAAUCCAAAUCAUUUAGAUCAAAUUUGACAAGAAACAAUUGGUUUUCAUGUCUAGAUCUAUCUGUCCUGAAAUUUCAGACGAUCAGACAAGCUGUAAAUUGUUUGGUUUUUGUCCCUGAAUAAAUAAUUUUAAGGACAUUUUAGUUAUUAUCUUGAAUAUUAUUAUUGAUAGAGAUAGAACUGUAAACAGCAAUAAUGGUCAGCAAAGUAAGAUCUACAAAUGAGUCAAAUGACCAAAAUGACUAAUUGACCCCAUAAGGAGUUAUUGCUCUUUAAAGUCAAAUUAUAUAUAUUUUUUUUCGAAAUCUUUAACAAAAGUCUUCUCCUGAAAUAACUGAGACAAAUUUAAUCAAACUGGCCAAAAUCAGCAUUUUGGUAUAUAGUUUAAAAAAAAAAUGUGUCGUAUGACCCUGCUAACCAACCAACAUGGCAGACAUGGCUAAGAAUAGACAAUAGGGGGAAAUGAAGCUCUUGACUUGUAUCUCUGAAAUUAAAGCAAAAGUUACAACGGUUGCAUUAUUUCAUGCAUCAAUUGUAAAUAAAAAUAUCAAUGUGAGCAAUGGAGCAUCUUGUUCUAUCUUACAAUCACCUUUUACUAAGUGUUCCGAGCGACUGAACCGAACCCAUCUGGUUGAGUUGGAUUCCUCAAUAGAUGUCCUCUAUACUGUCUGUUUUAGCAGUAUUGACUCAACACAUGGAAAUAUUUUGCAAUAAUACUUCAAAGAAACUGGUCCGUAACGGAAAUUCACACUUCAUUUACACCUUAAAUGCUGGUUUACCUUUCUACAAACACAAUUCAUAUAAAUUGAUUCCCUACGAAAUCAACAGUUGCUGUUAUUAAAAAAGUUACACUUGUUUUUAUUUAGAUUGAUAUUUUAUAGUGUGUGUUUCUAGGUUGUGAUGUUAUGCUACUGUUUCUGAAAAGGGAGAAGAUUUGGUACCAUUAAAACGUUUAAACCAUGAAUCUGGAAUCUGAUGUAUAGUGGUUGUCGUUUAUGUAUGUGGUACAUUUCUAGUUUCUCUUUCUAAUAAGACCACAAAAAAAAAUUGGGAUCGUAUAAUACUAUGAUGUUGUCGUCUACGUGGUGGUCGUCGUCCGAAGACACAAUGGUUUCCGGACAAUAACUUUAGUUUACGUAAAAGGAUCUUUAUGAUUUUUGUUAGAAGGUUCAAUAUCACAAAAAAAAAGCCUGUGAUAAACUUUGGGCAUUAGUGUCCCAACCGUUUAGGAAUAAGAGGCCGAAAAGGGUCCUAAACAAGCAUUUUUCUAGUUUCAGGAUAAUAACUUGUGUAUGAAUAUUUCUAUUGGUUUGAAAUUGUACCAAAAUGUUAAAUACCACAAGUAGAAGGUUAGGAUUCUGUUUAGGGGUUAUGGGACCAACCAUUUAAGAAUGAAAAGGGGUCCAAAACCAGUCUUUUCUAGUUUCCAAAUAAUAACUUGUGUGUAAGUGUAUGGAUCUCUCAAAGAGAAUGAUGUAGAUUGAGUUUGGGGUUUAUUGCCCCAAACAUGAAGGAAUUAGGGGCAAAAAGGGCCAAAAAGAAGCAAUUUUUCUAGUUUCAGACAAUAACUUGUGUUAAAGUAUAUGGAUCUCGCUGAAAUUGUACAGUAAGGUUCCAGAUGAAAUCUUCAAUUUGCACACUGACAGUAACGAGCAAUAGCUAUAGAUUUGCAAGAUUUUUGACCAAAUUUAUUUUGUGUCAAAACCUAUAUUAUGUCAAACAUUUGACCACAUUCCAAUUUCAGACAGUACCAAGCUUGAAUGUUGUGUCCAUACUUGCCCAACUGUUCAGGGUUCGACCUUUGCGGUCGUAUAAAGCUGCGCCCUGCGGAGCAUCUAGUUUAUGUUUUUACACUAGUAAUUUUUGGGCCCUUUAUACCUUGCUGUUCGGUGUGAGCCUAAGCUCUGUGUUGAAGACCUUACCUUGACCUAUAAUGAUUUACUUUUAUAACUUGUGACGUGGAUGGAGCGUUGUCUCAUUGUCACUUAUACCACAUCUUCCUAUAUUUAUUAUCAUUUUACAUUACUGUGUUAUUAAUGAUUCGAUUCAUGCAUAAUUUUGAUUUUUUUUUGUCUGUUGUUUCUUACACUUUAUCAUCUUCGCUUGACAAUGGUUACAAUGUUAUGCCCAUUUCAACUACACAGCGAUUUCUUUUAAGAUGGUACUCUGACUAAAAUCUUGUAUAGGUUCUAAUUGGACGAUACAGGAUUGCAAUUACUUCUUAUUGAAAGCUUAUCCAAUUUGGUGUAAAAAAAUCCAGAAAAUCAAAAUAACAUUUUACAAAUUAUAUAAAAUAUGUUUAAAAAUCUUCACCUCAAGGUCAUUAAAAUUUACUUUUUUAAGUUAACUGAAAGAUUACAUGUAGUCGAUGUUUUAAGCAGCAUUUUAAUAUCACCGUACGGCCUUCAACAAUGAGCAAACCCAUACCUAAUAGUCGAUCAGCUAUACAAGGCCACGAAAUGACAAGUUUAAAUCAAUUCUAACAAGAAAACCAACGGCCAAAUUCAUGUACAAAAAAAUUAACUAAAACAAAAUAAAAAUAUGUAUCGCAUCAACAAACGACAAUCUCUGAAUUACAGGCUUCUGACUUGGGACAGGCACAUACAUACAGAAUGUGGCGGGGUUAAAAAGUAAAAUCACAAAAAUAUAAAACUCCGAGGAAAAUUCAAUCGGGGAGUCCCUAAUCACAUGACAAAAUCAAAUGACAAAACACAUCAAACGAAUGGACAACAACUGUCAUAUUUCUGACCUGGUACAAGCGUUUUAAGUGUAGAAAAUGGUGUAUUGAACUUGGUUUUAUAGCGCUUAACCUCUCACCUAAACAUGUUAGCGGGAUCCAAAACCUCUCAUAACCUGGGAAAGUGGCACAACAGUACAACAUACAUUUGUAAGAACGAACUAUAAAUUCAGUUGAAAAAGCCUAACUCAUCAGGUGGAUAAAUAGAAAUACAUAUAACAAAAACACACUGUGGACGUGGCCGGUACUUGUAUAUCCCAGCAACAAAAAAGACACUAUCCAUUUUUGCUGCAUACCAUGUAUAUGGCUUUUGAUUGUUAUGCAACACGGACAUAUCUAGUAACAGGAAAUACUACCUAUUUUUCCUGUAUAGUCUUCGAUGAGAAAAAAUGAAGAAUAUACCACUGGUACCCUAUGGGAAUUGCUUUAUAGGAAUAAUAUUGUUCUUUUGUAACAUUCUUGACCAACGGAAACACUUGCACUCUCUGAAGUGUUGAGGUUUUAAAAAUGAUUUUGUCCACUAGUAUAACAUACAUUCCUGGAAGCAGGAACCAGAAGGAUACGUUGAUAUUCAAACAUUUGCGUGUGAAAUUAACAUAUAGGAACUUCAAUUAGUUGAUUAAGAACUUUCAAAUUGUCACUCAUUGUUGUCUUAUAAUGUUUUUGGGUUUCAGACUUGAUGCAUAAUCACCACAUGGCAAUCGUUUAUUAUUUUUUCUACAUUCACACAUGGUCAUUAAACAUGUUAAAGGCUCUUCGAAUCAUUUUAAUUGAAUGCUGCAAGUUACAAAUGGGACCAAUAUAAUCAUUACCUCACUGAUACAAACUUCUAUCUUAAACAGCAUAGAGUGGAGAGGAUGGGACUUGGUCAUAUCCCUUAGCCAGAUUAUAUAACUUAAAAUAAAUUUAUUUUGUUUUUAUGAAUAUUGGUGUAUUAUUUGAGUUAAGUUCAUGCUAUUGAUACAUCUUCAUGUUUUAGACAGAGAACAUAAUUAUGCGGUACUUUAUUUUUUCAGAUAAAAACAAAGGCAACAAAGAAACAGAAACAAAGUACAUUCUUGUGUGAACUAAUAAUACUAUUACCAG
rnacentral:lncRNA from 1 species